rnacentral:lncRNA from 1 species
UCUCACACAAAAUCACCUCAGUAUUACUAUUCACAUUUUUAUAAUAUUUGUUCGUUCGGAAGGAGCACUUUUAGUUACUGUAGGAAUAAGGAUGAUACCAAUAGAGAAUUGUCUCAAAAAGCGAUCAUUUUAGAUAGAUAGUUUCACGAUGAGAACGUAGAGCAUAGGCUUACAAUGGUUAGAUGAGACAGAGAAGUGGUAAAGGAUUCUAAAUUUGUCUAAACAUACCUAUAACAUGAACACAGGGAAGUUGAGAUGGAUCCUUGUUAAAUGCCAAAUUGGAUAAUAAGAGAAAUGUUCAGGAAGAAAAUCAAUUAGGAAAAAUGUGUAUUAAGCAAGAAUAUUAUUUGACAUAUUUAGUUUCCAUAUAUGUACAUGGUUGAUUCUCUAUAUAAAUAAAAGGGAGAGGAGACGAAGGGUAGAUUUUUCCUCUCAGUUUAUGCAAAACUCGUUUACAUGGUGUUACGCCCCCAUCUGAACCACUUCGGAAGGAUUGCCACUACGUCAUACGAGGUGUUCAACACUUAUCCGAAGUGGUUCCGAAGUGACUCCACCACUAAUGUUGGCGAGCUGCUAAUGCGCUGCCAGGCACAAACAAUUCUACUAAACCAACUGAAGCGUUCUUGCCUUUGACGUCGAAGCACAAUGCACUCCGAAGAUCCGUGUCAGCUGUGCCAAGAUCCUUUCUGCCCCCAAGGUUUAUAUUGAUUUGACGUCUCCAUGGGCCUAAUUGAUGUGACGUAUCAACUUUAUGUCAACUUAACUCGGGAGAAGUUAUUACCCGCCCACUCUAUAGACGCGGCUGAUUGACGCCUAUAAGCAGACGCCUCACACCGUCAGAUGCAUACACGUGUCCCACAACUAACGGUUCUCCUCAACUAUAAAUACUCAAGGUUUGACAAGUGCCAAAGGUAAUGAAACUCUUACAACUUAACUUUCCAUAACAAGUAAAUAUACAUUCUCCUCCCCACCCUUUUUGCACAACCUUGGUACUUGAUAAGUGUAGUUUCUACACAUAUUUGGGGUCUUAAAUGAUAAUAUUUUGUUAUUUUUGGAACGGAUUAGUACCUGAUUUGUUAUUUAUUGCUUUUACUAGAAAAAGUUCAUGUUGAAAGAAGAAUUGAAAAAAAAGAACGGAAAAUGGCUAAAUGAAGCAAAUCCAAAAUAUGGGGACCAAAGUGUAAUUAUUUAAUGGUUGAUUUGGACCACAAAAGAUACUUUGAAGAUUGAUAGGAGUCAAUUGGAUGCAAAUUUGAGUUAAAAAGGAAAGGGAUAUGAUUAGAAUAUUACCAUAAAUCGACUUUCAAUCAUAUAGGAUAUUUUCAAGAUUUUUGGUCAACUUCAGACCCAUUUUUCGAAUGGUGAACGUUUGAAUUGUAAAAAUUGUAUUUCUAGAAGAAUUGUAUAUCCUUUAAUUAGUUUUUCAAUGCACUUUGAAUCACCUGAAUCGGACACCGAAAGAGAAAGUUAUGAUCAAAAUACUGAGGCUGUGCAGAGACAAAAUUAUGCGAGCGCGAAGGCAACUUUCCUUAUUUGAUUCAAACUCUUUUGGAAGACAAUUUGGACGUGAAUUUUGACCUAAUUUCAUCAUAUAAAUACAAGAUAUGUACAGCAAUGAAAGGGUCUCUCUCUUGCCUCUUCAUACACAAUAGUUUCAUCAAAUCCAUCAAGACUGAGGGGCCAAUUGCUAUAUUUUGAGAGAGAAGAUCAAGCCAUAGCAAGGAAAUGAAGUUCAAUUACAACAAGUUUUGAAGAAUUCAACUUUGGACGUGAAGAUCAACAUCUUUUGUAUUCUUUCAUGAUCCGAAUGAUAUUUUUCUAUUAUUCUUUUUGUAAUUUAUAUAUUAAUAUGCUAGGCUAAUUUUUCAUUGUAUUGGAUGAGAUGAACCCUAUUAUUUAUUUAUUUUAAUUCAAGACAAGUAUUUAGUUUAAUUCGUGUGUUACUUAAUUAAUUUUGCAUUCCCAUUGCACUAUUGAAUUGUUUGGCCAUCAAUUAAAUAGUUAGUUGCUUGUUGUAGUAUAGAAAUACUCACAACGAGUCUAGAACGUGGCAAAAUUAACAUGUAUAGUUAGGAUUAGGAAUAAUAUCUAUCAUACAUGCAAUCAUAUUGAUAACUUAAACUAAAUGCAUGAUUUUCAUAUGAAUUCGAACUAGGAUUAGGAUCGGGUCGUGUUAAUCAUAGGUUGGUGUAUCUUGGAAAAGAACAUUUAACAUAUUAGUAUUAUCGAUUGUCAAGAACUCGUGAAAGAAAUUAGAUUACGAAUCAAGAAUUGAAAUAAAUAGCAAUAGGCGGAGUCAAAAUCUAAUACAAUCCUCCAUAAUUUGAUAAAAUCCCAAUUUUUAUUGCUUUCUUAGAUUAAUUUAGUUUAAAUCAAAUCAAAAUAUUUAUUUUGUUCUCAUAACUAGAAUUCCAUACGAAACUAGUAAAUUUGAAUUAAAUUUAUUCUCUGUGGGACGAUAACUCUUAACUCACUUAUUAUUACUUGUCAACGAUCUCGUACGGUUGCGGGUAUCACACGAACAGUACUGUUCCGAUCACCAGAAGCUAACUUGAUCGUCGGAGUGUAUGCAGCCACCGCCGCCCCCGCUGGUUCCAACCGUGUGCAUCUCACCGUGCGUUGACUGUGCGCAAGGAGGAUUACGUGGAGCAGCAAUCGGUUGGCCACCUGGAGGGUCCAAUUCGCGAGGUCAACAAAUUGGCGCCGUCUGUAGGAACUACUUCCUAUCCAAAGUCCAACAUUCUCCAUCGGAAAAGCCACCGGAAAACCCUUGAUGUACCCUGAAAGGGGGACGUUCUUGAAAAAGAACAAAGUCGAAUUGCAACCCGAUCCUCAUCACCCUUGAAAAAGGAGUAGACAAGAUGAGUUCCAACAAUGAGGAUGCAAACCACAGGAUGGACGCCUCUGAAAAAGAGGUGCUCUGAAACAAUGUCACUCACCAGAGACCCCAUCACCGACAUCGCCGAGGUGAAAGAACGGCCAUGUUCACUGAAGGAAUGGCCCAAAUAGCUGCGGGCAUGAGAGAGAUCGCAUCUCAGAAUAUGGCGAUGCAUGAAUUCAUGUGAGCCCAAGGUCACCAAGGCGCCCAAAUGCCCCAAAAAUCUUACCUAACUCGUGAAGUCCCUGCGCCUCGUUCUCGAGAUCAUAUGAGCUAGCACAGAGAACUCCCCCUCGAGAGAGGAGCGGGUACGAAAGUCACAUCCUAUGUGCAAGGGAGCCAGCCAGCAGAACCGCAAUUGGGGGACAACUUCCCACCAGAUAUGAAGCACAAAGGUCGUCAGUGUCUUCGACCGGAUAGGGCGGCACCCUAGUAAUAGGGUCCGCGCAGUGGAAAGAUCAGUUCGACAAGGGGAAGAGCAAGAAGAAGCGCCCCCUCCACCUAGAAAUAGGAAGGAGAGAAGAAACAUAGUUGAUUGGGGUAGCCGAGGAAGAGCACCUCCACCCCCCAGAACAUGCAAAAUGACGGGGACUCCAAAGGGCUGUGUCGAUCUUACGAGAUUGAUGAUAAUGAUGAUAAUCUCCCUUUCUCAAGAGAGAUCCGAGGCUCCCCAAGUAUGAAGGAAAAGGGGACCCGGAGAAGCACCUCACGAAUUACACGACACAGAUGAGUCUCAGGGGAGCCUUGCCUGCUUUGAAAUGCAGAGCCUUCCACCUAACCCUUGCCAGAGCCGCCGAAGUGUGGUACAGCAGGCUGCCUCCUCUGAGCAUUAGGAGUUGGCCAGAGCUAAAAAAGACUUUCUUGAACCAAUACCUCUCACAUAGAGAAGGGGAGGCCCCAGUGCAACACUUGCAAGAUAUGAGACAAGCCCUUGGAAAAAAGCUAAAAAGCUACUUCGCCAGGUUUAAGGACGAGAUCACCUACUAUGAACAGAUCACUGACAGAGAAGCCUUUUCAGCGUUGAAAGGCGGCCUCAACAUGAACACUUUAUUCUGGAGGGAUGUGCGCAGCAAGAAUAAUACCACUUAUUACCAACUGGUGGAAAUGAUGAAAGUCGAGAUCGUCAGUGAAGAGAUGAUUGAUCAUCGAAAUCGCGCCGCACGUGGACUCCCUCCACCUCAGAGGCAUGUAGGUCGAGGACCCGCAGCACACCUUGUCACCAAGCAAUGGACCCAGGCAGGGCAUACAAUAGCUCCCAUAUCCGGACAGGCACUAGCUUCUACCACGCUAAAUGCAGUGCCGGUGUUGGCAUACGAGAAUGGCCCUGCUGAGGCGGGACCCUCUAGGGGUACUAAUAGUAGUCGAAAGAAGAAGAAGAAGCGGUCAAGCAUGCCCUUAGAAGAGGCAAGUUCUACACUUUCCACCAACUCUAUGGACAUGACACCAGCGAAUGUAGAGACGCUCCACGACACUCAGAUCUGAAUAGCCCACAUCCCUCCAGGAGGGACGAACAUCCCCGCAUAUCCACCUCCCCAAAUAGAGCUAAAAGGAGGCAUAGAGAUCAAUCACCCCGAAGAAGAGGAGAGUCCAGACAGAGAGAUCAUGCCCCAUUUUCUAGAGGCCAAAUCAUCAGGGAAAUUGAUACAAUCAUCGGGGGACCUCACAUCGGCGGCAACACUAGGAAUGCCCAGAGGAACUACAUAAGGGAAGCAAAGGAUCCGCCGAUGCUCACGUACAUCGUCAACCAAUUCCAAGAAGCCAACAGGAUGGUCCCGAUUACCUUCUCCCAAGAAGAUACACAAAGAGUUCACCACCCCCAUUAUGACGCAAUGGUAGUAAGAGCCGUAGUAGCAAGAGACGGACUCAAACGCAUGCUUGUCGACAAUGGCAGCUCGGUGAACAUACUGUUUGGCUCUACCUUCGAGAAAAUGUAAAUCGAACACGGACUAAUCGCCAUGAUCGAUCCACUAUUUGGAUUUACUGAAGACAGCAUCAUCCCACGAGGACGAUUACUAUGCCAGUCGAGAUGGGUUUAGCUUCCCUAGUGGCCCAACAUUUCAUGGAGUUUUUGGUAGUAGACCACAGGUUAGCCUACUACGGAGUAUUGGGCAGACUCGCCUUGAAAGAUCUUUGGGCUGUCACCUCCAUACAUUACUUGUGUAUGAAGUUCCCAAUUGAGCAUGGAAUUGCUAUGAGCAUGUUAUCUAAACUCUCUGCGAAAAUCAGAGCCCCGCACUGUUAAUGUAAUCAUAACGGAGGUUGCGAACGAAUCCAACCUGGAUGUGGAAAUGCUCGACGCCCCUAAAAUAGGGCAUACCUCCGAACAGGAGGAAGAUGUCGACAUGGAAGAGGCUCCUGAAGAAGGGCACCCUCUUAACGAAUUAGACCCCCGAGUAACUGGAUCAGAACCGAACGCGACCCCAAUUGAAGAACUUGAAACUUUCUCCGUCAACUCAGAGGACCCCAGUCAGGUCCUGCGGAUAGGAAAGACGUUGUCCCCCGAAGCUAAAGAACAAAUGAUAAGCUUCCUGAAAAGAAACAUGGAUGUCUUUGCUUGGAAGCACGAGGAUAAGGUAGGAAUAGACCCGAGGAUCAGUUGCCAUUGCCUAAACAUCAACGCCUCCUGUGCCCCACAUCGACAAAAAAGACGAGCCCUCAACCCGAAGAGGUACGAGGCGCUCAAAGACGAAGUAAAUAAGCUUAGCAGUAGUGGCUUCAUCAGAGAAACAAUUUAUCCGAAGUGGAUAUCUAACUCGGUCCUUGUGAUGAAGCCUAACGGGAAAUGGUGGGUGUGCGUAGACUUCAUGAACUUAAACAAAGCAUGGCCUAAGGGUAGCUUCCCACUGCCGAGGAUAUACCAACUUGUGGAUUCCACUGCCGGACAUGAACUCUUGAGCUUCAUGGAUGUGUACUCAGGAUACAAUCAGAUACCCAUGUUUCGACCUGAUGAGGAGGCCACAUCGUUCAUCACAGACAGAGGACUGUACUGCUAGAAAGUCAUGCCCUUCGAAUUUAAAAAUGCCGGAACUACAUAUCAGAGACUGGUCAACAUGAUGUUUGCCGAACUUAUUGGCAAAAUCAUGGAAGUCUACGUGGAUGACAUGCUAGACAAAAGCCUCCAGGCGAAUGAACACGUAAGUCACCUCGACCAGACCUUUCAGAUUCUUAGGAAAUACAAAAUGAAAUUGAACCCACUCAAAUGCACCUUCGGCGUGGCUUCGGGUCAUUUUUUGGGUUACAUUGUGAACCAAAGGGGAAUCGAAGCAAAUUCGGUAAAGAUUAGGGCCUUAUUGGAAAUGAGGUCGCCUCAGAAGCCGAAGGAGGUCCAGAGCCUCAAUGGUUGGAUAGCUGCACUCAGUCGCUUCAUCUCUAGAGCCACUGAUAAGAGCCUACCAUUCUUCAAAGUGUUGAAACAAGGGAAGAAGUUCCAAUGGACCAAUGAGUGCGAGGAAGCCUUCCAAGCACGGAAGAAACACUUAGGAGAGGCGCCUCUGUUAUCUAAACCUAAACCACAGGAAUCACUACUACUAUACUUGGCGAUCUCGGACGAGGUGGUUAGCGCAGUCAUAGUUAGAGAAGAAGAGGAGCAUUAAUUGUCGGUAUACUAUGUCAGCAAAGCACUACUCUCGACAAAAACCCGCUACCCGGGUAUGGAAAAACUGGCACUCGCCCUCAUCACGGCAUCAAGAAAACUGAGGCCAUACUUCCAGGCCCACUCAAUCGACGUUCUCACCGACUUCCCAUUAAAGCAGGUACUGCAGAAAACAGAAGCUUCGAGCCGCCUGCUAAAAUGGGCAAUUGAGCUCAGUGAGUUCGACCUACUGUUCCAAUCCAAACAUGUCAUCAAGGGACAAGCCCUUGCAGAUUUUGUGGCUGAAUUCACCAUAGCGCCAGAAAUGGAGGCGGCAAUGGAACCAGCCGAGCCCCCAACAUGGAACUUGUUCGUGGAUGGAUCUUCAGGAAAAACUGGCUCCGAAGCUGAGAUCGUCUUAGAAAGCCCGAAAGGCCACAAGCUAAAUUGCGCAGUAAGGUUCGGCUUUAAAGCCUCUAACAACACUGUCAAAUAUGAGGCCUCUCUAGCAGGUCUUAGACUCGCAAAAGAAAUGCAGAUCAGAAGGCUCUUGGCAAGCAGCGACUCUCAACUUGUGGUGAGUCAGGUGAACAGGAACUUUGCCACCAAAGACAAUAGCAUGACUGCAUAUUUAAAAUUGGUCCUAGACCUAAUCCCACAUUUCAAGAGGUUCGAAUUGAUCCAAGUCCCACGCCUCGAGAACACUCAUACAGACGCCCUGUCAAAAUUGGCCAAUAGCAAAGACUCAAAGCUGCUAAAGAUUGUCACCAUUGAACGCUUGUCGAAGCCCUCCAUCUCCAAAGGUGAAGAGUUGCUAUGGAUAGAAAGUACCCCAUUAUGGAUGCAACCCAUCAUGACCUAUCUGAAGGAUCAAUCACUACCAGCUUCAAGAAGCAAGGCAAGGAAGUUAAGAAAGAGAGUCGCGCACUUCGUCCUGCAAGAGGAUGUCAUCUACAAAAGAGGCUUUGCCCCACCACUUCUCCAAUGUGUAGAAGGGGAAAAAGCCACGUAUAUACUCAGGGAGAUCCACGAAGGGAUACGCGGAAAUCACUCCGGGAAAAUGGCUCUUGCACACAAAGUGCUUCGACAAUGCUACUUCUAGCCAAUCCUAAAAAGGGAUGCUUGCCAAUUCGUUCAGAAAUGUGACAAGUGCCAGCGCUUCACAAAUAUUCAAAAACAGCCUUCUCAGAGCUCUCCGUAGUCACCAGUCCGUGGCCAUUCGCUAAAUGGGGCAUCGACUUCAUUGGUCCGCUCCGAAAAGGAAGAGGAAGCACGACUUUUGCCGUUGUCGCCAUUGACUACAUCAUCAAGUGGAUCGAGGCUGAACCUCUUUCCAAGAUCACCGAGGCGAAUACUACAAAAUUCGUCUGGAAGAAUAUCAUUUGCAGGUUUGGCAUUCCCCACUCUUUAGUGUCCGACAACGGGAGACAGUUCGACAACAAGAAGAUGCGAGACUUAUGCAACGAAUUGGGGAUAAAAAAGGAUUUCUCGACGCCUCAUCACCUCCAAGCAAAUGGGUAAGUUGAGGCAGUAAACAAAACCAUCAAGCAUACCCUGAAAAGGAAGCUUGACGCCUCAAAGGGAGCGUGGGUCGAUGAGCUUCCCCACGUCCUCUGGGCCAUCCGCACAACUAGCCGAAUCGUUACAGGGGAGACACCCUUCUCGAUGACCUACGGAGCCAAAGCCAUGAGCCUUGUCGAGGUAGGGGUCCCAUCGCAUCGUUGGAUACAUUUCAAUGAGAUCGAUAACGACGAAACUCGAAUGAGCGAACUCCACCUCCUUGAAGAAAGGAGGGAUACCUCCCAAGUAAAACUGACAAAGUAUCAAAGGAAAAUGACCUGCUAUUACAACUCCAAAGUCAGAAAUCGAACUGUUUAGUUGGGGGACCUCGUCUUUAGAAGGGUCUUCCAAUCAUCAAAGCCAACUGAAGCUGGAGAGCUUGGACCAAAUUGGGAGGGUCUUUAUCGCAUCUGCAAGGAGUCCCAACCGGGUACUUUUAAAAUUGAAGAUAUGACAGAGAGAAUACUGUCUCAUUAAUGGAACAUCGAACACUUGAGAAAGUACGAUCAAUGAUGAACGUAUGCUCCGAUCAGAUCUCGAUGCUGUCUAAUGUGUGGUUUGUCACGAUCCGAUCUCAUUUGUAACUUCCCUAUCUUACUAAGUGCUGAAAUUGCCUUAGUGAUGGAUGAUGUAAUCUCUAAGUAAUGAUACUUCAGUUCUUUAUGUCUAAUCAGUUAAUGAGUUGUUGCCUCAAUUAUUUAAUAUGUUAUUGCUCCGAUCUCCUUUUAUCGACUGGUUAUCGAUAAGUGGUGCUUAUUGUUUGCUUAAGUGCUUGUCAUUCAUAUACUCGAGUAUAAACAGCUCAACACAAUGAAAAGGCAGAAGCAACAAUACUUAGACAAAAUUUUCAUUUCAUUCAUUUAAAAUUGAAUUACAAAAGAGGCCGAAUCCAUUACAGGAAUGACCCCAUUCUACUGGGGCAUCAUCCGCGCCAGCCUCCGCCUCGUCCCUCUCCGAGACCUCUCGAGUCUCCUCGGCAAACCUGUCAGGCCAGCCUCCAGUAGGCCCACCAAACUCUGCCUCUAAAGAGGAUAUGUCCAGAGUAGGGUGGACCUCUUUUAGCCGACCCAACAGUCCUUCUGCACCUCAAAAGGCCCAGUAAUUGGCAAAGUCGUCGUACAGGGGGUGCUCCUCGAAAUGAUCGAUAAAGUUCCGCACCGCCAUCUCCCCUACCGACUUCAUCUCCCCCUUCAGGGAGGCAAUCUCCUCAGCUUGAGCUUUCGCCCUCUGCCUCAGCUCAGCUUUUUCUUUAUUGGAGGCCUCCAGAGCCUCUAUGGCGGGCCAGUGGUGCUCAUUAGCAUGAUCCACCCUUCUGGUCAUUGCAGCCACCUGGCACUCCACUUCAUAGAGCUCCUUCUUCAGCCGCUCAAUCUCCUCCUUUGCAUCCACCAGCUGGGCCUCGACUUCUUUUCUUGCUUUCUCCUCCUCCGAGGUCUUGGCCCGGGCCUCUGGCACUGCGUCCUUAAUACAUCGCCUCCUCAAAACGCUUGGCGAGGUCCUCCAUCUUGGCAUUGAGGUCUUUCAUCAAGCCUUCAAGUUGGAUGCUUGUGCUUAGGACACGGGCCACACAGGCACUGUUGGCAGCAAUGAGGUCUUCGGCGGUGCAUGCGGCAGUGUGGUCUCUCCAUUCCUUUGUCCAAUAUUUGUUGUGGACCACCGCCACUGCCGCCGUCUCCGAAGGAAGAGCCUCCAACACCUCUUUCACUAGCUCCUCAGAAUUUGGGCCCAAGAAGUCCUCCUUCGAAGGAUUGGCUCUCUUUCUUUUCGGCUGCCCCGGCACUUGGGCAAUUGGAACAGCGGCAACUGGAGCUGUAGCAGGGACAGGAGAAGCCUCAGAGGGUACAGGUGUCUUCUCCGGGAUGGCCACCCCAAUAGGUAUGGUGGUCUGCUUCAGGACCAAGGGUGGCCUCGCUAUUGUUGGGCGCUUCGAAGGGCCAACAGACUUCUUGCCCUUUCGCAGCAAGUUGGCCUCCGGAUCCUCUGUCACCUCCUCCUCUGUUGGAGGCUGGAGCCUCUUGCUGGCAUCCACCAAAUCCUCCAUCUGCUUCUUGUAUCAGAGGAGGAUGUCUUCAAGGCUCUCGCCUCGGCCAUCAUCUUCUGGAUGGUCUUGAAGUCAGGCCUUAGAGGCAUUUUCCUGUUGAAGUUAUCUGUAAAGAAAAAGGCAAAUUAUUACAAGUGUAAAGGGCCUAGAAAAUUACUAGAGUAUUCACUUCAGGAAUUUUAGCUUGAGAAGCCAUCAAAUGGUGCGUCACGAAGUGAAUGUUCUUCCUAAUCAGCUGGGGGUAUGACCUCUUAUUCGGAGGCAGCUGAUAGAUGAUGCAAAUGAUAUCAAAGUCGUCGGUGGAUAUCUCACACCGAGGAAGAGUACCUUCAAAAGCAAACAAAUAUCAGUUAGGAUCUGAACCGAAGAAGAAUAAACAUAAAUACAAAGCAGCUAGUAUACACUAAGUGUAGAAUACUUCGUGGGGACCGUAAGAGGCGCCAGGGGGUCCCCCUCCAUCGUGUUCCAUCUCCCGGCAGCCCAGAACCACGAGCUCUUCCACUCCUUAAUGGAGCUCGACAGAUCGAGCACAAAUGGAGUAUGGGAACCCCGUGAGGUCAGGUAAUACCAGCUCCAAGUCUUAUCCCCCCAGCCGCUACCUUGGGGAUGUAGAGGGUCUGGAAGACAGAAAAGGGCAUCUCUACCCCAAGCAAUGCCUCCUUCCAUAACAUCCAGGAGCCCACCAUUUGGCUCCAGGAGUUCGGAUUCAACUGGGUUGAAGCUAAACCAUAAGACCUAAUGACUAGGCGGAAGAAAGGAUGAAUCGGGAGCCUAAGGCCAGCCCUAAGAAUCGCUUCGCUAAUUGCCACGCACCAUGGCCUAGGGUAGCAAGCUCUCAUCGGGUUCGAGUAGGAUCAGAUCUACACUGUCUGGUAUCCUAUAUUCCGCCCUAAGUCUAUCGAGGUUAGCACUUUUCAGCUUAGAAGGGUAAUCCGACACCCCAAAUGCAUAGACAUGUCUACUGGGCUAUCAGGGCGCCUCCAGAGAUUCCCCCCCCCCCCCCCCCCCCCCCCCCCCCCCCCCCCCCCCCCCCCCCCCCCCCAAUUAUCGCUUCGAAAAUUUCGGAGGAGGUCACCAAAAUGGGCUUGUCCAUUCGUACUAAUUCCAGCCCUCUCCCCAAGCUACCACUACCCUCAGAAGCCAUUUUUUCAAAAAUGAAAAACGUCAAAUACUUACUGAAACUCACAAAAUGGGGGUUUCACAACCGAAAAUGGUCAGGAAACACUGUAGAGUCGUCAAAAACUGAAGUUGUAGCCAGAAAAUGCUUGAAAAAUGCCCAAAAAUGCUUGAAGAACACCGGGAAAUGCAAGGGAUUUGAGAGCAAAUAGAGCCGCAGUAACCUUUUCUGGGAAUGGGCAUCGCACACAACUAUCGUCUUGGAAAUAUGCGACAAUUGUCAAAUCAUUUAACGUCAGAAAUGUUCGCCUCAGAUCCAGCAGAUGAGCUACACACGGCUUUACAAAACUUAGACGCACCUGACGCGAAGUCCCCUGUGGGUCAUUGUCUCGGUUGCUACAUCCCCCUUAAGCUUUACAAAGUUUUAGCUAUCUCCCAAUGCGUCCUCCAUGUGGGUUAACGCAUCGGUAGCAGGUGAGCUCCACUCAGCUUUACAAAGCUUAGACGCACCUGACAUGAAGUCUCAUGUGGGCCAUCGCCUCGGUAACUGCAUCCCCCCUUAAGCUUUACAAAGCGUUAGCCAUUUACCAACGCAUCUUUCCCUGUGGGUCAACGCAUCGGUAGCAGAUGAGCUCCACUCAACUUUGCAAAGCUUAGACGCAUCUGACGUGAAUCCCCUGUGGGUCAUCGCCUUGGUAGCUGCAUCCCCUCUUAAGCUUUACAAAACUCUAGCCAUCUCCUAACGCGUCGUCCCCUUUGGGUUAGCGCACCAGUGGCAGCUGAGCCCCUCAUUCAGCUUUGCAAAGCUUCAACGCACCUGACGCGAGGUCCCCUGUGGGUCAUUGCCUCGAUAGCUGCUUCCCCUCUUUAGCUUUAUCAAACUUUAGCCAUCUCCCAACGCACCGUCCUAUAGGCCAGCUUAUCGAUUUUCGGAUAAGCUCCUUCCUUAGGCAGUGAUGAAGCUUUAUCAGUGCAUCUGUCGAAGAUAUGUCCCCACCUUCAUCUCUUCGGUGAACACAGAAAACCAUCCCACAAGCUCACACACCACGAUUCCUAUCCAGAGGCAGACAUACCCGAUCGGGAAAACAAGUCCACCCAUGAUAUAAAUAUUCAUGCCUAAACUUGGGAGACCACUUUACGCCCCCAUCUGAACCACUUCGGAAAGACUGUCACUGCGUCAUACGAGGUGUCCAACACCUAUCCGAAGUGGUUCCAAAGUGACUCAACCACUAAUGUUGGUGAGCUACUAACGCGCUGCGAGGCACAAACAAUUCUACUAAACCAACCAAGCGUUCUUGCCUCUGACGUCGAAGCACAAUGCACUCCGAGGAUCCCUGUCAGAGGAUCCGCCUCCAAUUUUAGAAAGAGAUCUGUGUUAAGAUCCUUUCUGCCCCCAAGGUUUAAAUUGAUUUGAC